GGGAAAACUACUGGGCUCAUCUGGGUUACUUGCUUGGUAUCUUCCCUGCACCUAGGAAGUAAAAUCCCAGCAAGUGGGAAGAUGGCAGCGUCAGUCUUCACACUGGGGAUAAAAGGCAAAAGAAAUUUGUGUUGCUGUUCAACUGACACAGAGUUCAAUGGGAGCUUGACAUUGAACUGAAAAGAGAUCUCUCACUCACCUGGAAUGAAUCAAGAAGGCUCUUUAUUGGUUGCCAAGCCUUAGGAAUAAACUUGCCUCUGUAUUUCUGAUGCCACUAUUUGCGAUUUUAUGAGAUUUAUUCUCUAGUGAAAUAAAUAAUUCUGGAGGUCAAGCUGGUUGCGUUUGAAAUUUUACUUGAUACCUUUUAAGCAUUCUCAAACUGCAUCAAGAUCUAUUUGACUGAAAAAGCAGUGUUUCUUUCAAUUCUGCACCAUAAUCCCUGUGAACAGUCUCUUUUAAGCAAAUGUGUCUCAUUCAGUGCAAACUGGCCUCAACCUUCCUGUGUAGCUGAUGCCGGCCUUGAACUCCUUGUUCUAAUGCUUUUACCCUUUCCCCUCACUAGAAUUUCAGGAGUGUGUACCAUGUCCAAUAUGCACUUUUUAGGUGGCCCAUAUACAAUUUUUCUCAAAAAUCUUCCUUUUACUGGGUGUUUUGAUUAGGCUGAGCGUUUCCAUUUUUCUCUUCUUUUUUUCUUUUGUUUUGUGUG